GAUGAACGCUGACAGAAUGCUUAACACAUCAGCGAUUGUUUUGUGGCGGACGGGUGAGUACCGCGUAAAGAACUUGCCUCACAGCUCGGGCCCACCUUUGGAAACGAAUGCUAAUACACAAUACUGUGAGAUGGCUUUUCGUCCCAGUAGCUAGUUGGAGAGGUCACGGCUCACCUAGGCGAGGAUGGGUAGCCGGCCUGAGAGGGUGAUCGGCCCCAAGGGGACUCGGACGCGGGCCGUAGUGCUACGUGGGGCAGCGGUGGGAGAUAUUCGACAAUGGACCAAUGACUGAUCAAGCAAUUCUGUGUGCACGAUGAAGUUUUCGGGAUGUAAAGUGCUUUCAGUUGGGAAGCGGUACCAACAGAAGAAGUGACGGCUAAAUACGUGCCAGCAGCCGCGGUAAUAC
rnacentral:rRNA from 1 species